GACGAACGCUGGCGGCGUGCCUAAUACAUGCAAGUAGAACGCUGAAGGAGGAGCUUGCUUCUCUGGAUGAGUUGCGAACGGGUGAGUAACGCGUAGGUAACCUGCCUGGAAGCGGGGGAUAACUAUUGGAAACGAUAGCUAAUACCGCAUAAUAGUAGAUGUUGCAUGACAUUUACUUAAAAGGUGCAAUUGCAUCACUACCAGAUGGACCUGCGUUGUAUUAGCUAGUUGGUGGGGUAACGGCUCACCAAGGCGACGAUACAUAGCCGACCUGAGAGGGGGAUCGGCCACACUGGGACUGAGACACGGCCCAGACUCCUACGGGAGGCAGCAGUAGGGAAUCUUCGGCAAUGGACGAAAGUCUGACCGAGCAACGCCGCGUGAGUGAAGAAGGUUUUCGGAUCGUAAAGCUCUGUUGUAAGAGAAGAACGAGUGUGAGAGUGGAAAGUUCACACUGUGACGGUAUCUUACCAGAAAGGGACGGCUAACUACGUG
rnacentral:rRNA from 1 species